rnacentral:rRNA from 1 species
GGGAAUAUUGCACAAUGGGCGAAAGCCUGAUCCAGCCAUGCCGCGUGUGUGAAGAAGGUCUUCGGAUUGUAAAGCCCUUUAAGUUGGGAGGAAGGGUAGUAACUUAAUACGUUGCUAUUUUGACGUUACCGACAGAAUAAGCACCGGCUAACUCUGUGCCAGCAGCCGCGGUAAUACAGAGGGUGCAAGCGUUAAUCGGAAUUACUGGGCGUAAAGCGCGCGUAGGUGGUUCGUUAAGUUGGAUGUGAAAGCCCCGGGCUCAACCUGGGAACUGCAUUCAAAACUGUCGAGCUAGAGUACGGUAGAGGGUGGUGGAAUUUCCUGUGUAGCGGUGAAAUGCGUAGAUAUAGGAAGGAACACCAGUGGCGAAGGCGACCACCUGGACUGAUACUGACACUGAGGUGCGAAAGCGUGGGGAGCAAA